rnacentral:rRNA from 1 species
UACGGAGGGUGCGAGCGUUAAUCGGAAUUACUGGGCGUAAAGCGCACGCAGGCGGUUUGUUAAGCUAGAUGUGAAAGCCCCGGGCUCAACCUGGGAUGGUCAUUUAGAACUGGCAGACUAGAGUCUUGGAGAGGGGAGUGGAAUUCCAGGUGUAGCGGUGAAAUGCGUAGAUAUCUGGAGGAACAUCAGUGGCGAAGGCGACUCCCUGGCCAAAGACUGACGCUCAUGUGCGAAAGUGUGUGUAGCGAACAGG